CCUCUCCUGCUCCUGGUGCCUCCCAGUGUGGCUUCCAAGGUCGAUCUCCACCGGAUCUGGAUUCGUUGUUGAGAGGCAAAAUCGUCGGAGACGAGGCGAGGGAGAGAGGAUCUGGCUGUGAGAGAAGAGGAGAGCCGGUCGAUGUGGAGCUGGCUUGGUACACAAAUGGCUGAUCUUUUCUUGCGUUCAUCUUGAAGCUUUGCGCAAAGUUCAUUAGUUGUUUCUUUGUCUUCAUAAGCUUGUUUUCUUACACUCUCCAACUCCCGGAGCAUAUGCUGGAAUUUAUUGUCAGCCUCAUCAAAUUCGUGAACAGUUUCCUGGGUGAGAUAAGGUAAAACUUCAUGUCAUGUCAAGGUUUUCUUGAAUGUUUAAUAUCUUCAUCCUAUUUCGUGUAUUUAUCAAGCAAAUUCUUCAGCAUGGACCACAUUUGAAGUGCAUAUGCAUUUCUGAUUGCUUCAUCAGUGACCAUACAAAGUUUAAGUGUGGAUGCAUAUUGCUUACUGAAGAUGUGGAGAAUAUAAAUGAAGCAGCUUCUUUGUUCCUUGAAGUGUAACUGCUAAACUUUAAGUAUGCCAAAAUAAAUAUCAUUUAUAUAAUUGUGUUUACCUUUUCAUUACCGUCGGAUCGUCUGAGAUUUGGUUUGUGCAGCCAUGUAUUUGAAACACACCACAUCUCUGACAAGCUAGUUGAUCUAUCCACUGAAAACUGUUGAGCACCAGGCUUUUGUGUACCUUGCGGCAUUGCCCCAUGGCUAAGGGGAACAGCCUUCCUAGUGUAGAGAGAAUGCAGACAAGGAGGGUAACAUGUCAAAUGCAGGCUGGAGUUCUGCAACGUAAGUGAAGAGUAUCCGGCGCUCGACCAACCGUACUUACGGUAAACAAGCGUUCCUUUGCAGAUGUACCAUAUUUUGCAGGAAGGAUCUGCCCUCUGUUCUACAACCUGUGCUUUCUUGGACUUGAGGGCUUUCAUUUUCCUGAACUCUUGAACGAGGAGUUAGUUUUCCCUUUUGUGGUAAAGGGCAUUCACUGAUGACCAUGAUGUGUUUAAUUAGUAAUAAUAAUCUAUAAGUUUUUAAGAGAUCACUCAGAAAUUUGCACACAUACUUUGUGUAAUGCUUAUCAGCUGCUGCCCCCAUGACAAGGGCAGUGACAUGAUGCUCAGUGAUGAGCUGCACUAGUCCCUCUGCCACAUCAUCUGAUUCAACCACCAGCUUCUCAGCUUGUACCUGUGAGAUACAUGCAUAGGUCAAUUUUUGAAGCAAGCAUAUAGUACUAGUUUUCUUGGCAUUCUGGUGUCUGAUAUGUCUGAACCUUUUCCUGUGCACAUAGGAGCAGAUGUUGGUCCAGACUGUCAUUGAUUCUCUGCAACUCCAUCUUCUUGUAUGCAGUCAGCUCCUGCUCUUGCACCUGGCUAGCAGGGAUCCUGGCACCCACUGUGAACAACAUUGGAGACAUGGAGCAGCACAAAGGCGGUGUCUUUGGGGAACUUGUGCAGUGCCCACAGCACCAUCGCCUUGGACCCGCCCACCGCCACGUACACCUGCUCGCUGCCGCCGGAGGAGGAGGAGGGGGAGGAUAGCCCCGACGAGUCGCCCCAGUGCGAGCCGCCCGCCGCGUCCAUGGCAGCUAGCUAGUUAGCUGUGUCGUUCUCUCUUGCUGGUUAGCCAGCAGCUCAGAUUGACUCGUUAUGGUAGGCUGGCAGCUGUACACACACACCUGCUGCCGGCUUGACUUGUUGCUGCCAAGAGUUGCCCGGCAGUUCCCAUGGCAUGGCAGGGGCUAGCUGUGUUCGCCUUUCUGACGGACGACUUGUGCAAGUUCUCUGCUUUGUGAACGAGCGACCGCUACCACGGCUGCAUCCAGUGGCGGACCUAGAAUCACAUGCUUGGGGGUGCCACGGUUCAAAGUUUACACUAAGCAUCAUCAUAAUCUCAACAAAUAGUCUUAAACUAGCAACAACUUGGGAGUAUAUAGUAAAAUUCAUUUUACAAUUUUGGACCCAGGCCCAGGGCACCCCCACUGGAUCCGCCUCUGCUGCAUCAUCGAGCAAGGCACUCACUUCACUUCACUUCCCUACUGUAAGUCUUCUUCUUUACUCCUCUCCUAUGGUUUUCAUGAUCGCACACCACCUGUGUGUUCGACUGCCCAGCCACAUGCUCUCGAUCAACUCAAGGAAGACGGCGCAACAAAGUCUAGUGCUUUUCUUAUGACGCGGGCUGCUAGCUGCUCUCAUCGCCAUGAUCUGACGGUUGUCUACUCUAGUGGAAUUAUCAAGUCAUACCAGUAAAGAUCGAAGAUUCAUGGUUAACUGAUGAAGUAAAAGACAUCACCUUUUCAUUCAGUUUGAAUGCACACGUCCUCUUGGAGAGUUACAUGGUUAGAUCGGCAACGACGGCACAUUAAUUUGACUAGGCUGUUCAGGAAAAAAAUUGAGAGGUUGGAGCAUUAAUUUGGAAGCUGAUCUUGAGAAAAAGAAACGCGAUCUCCUUGUGGAGUCUGACAUUCUUGAUGUCUUUUCUAAGGAAAAUAAACUUUCAGAUGAUGAUAAAAAAUGUAUGAAUGAUAUUUAAAAGGAACUGGAUUAUAUUCGAAAAAAGAUGGAACCGCCUUAUGGCAAAGAUCUAGGGAUAGGAAAUUUGUGUUGGGGGGUAGGAACAAUUCUUAUUUCCAUGGGUUAGCUAAUCAACAUCAUAGAAUGAACCAUCUGGUUGUGCUGAUUGGUGAUGACAGCUCUGUCUAUUCUACCCACCAAAUGUUGGAAGUUGCUACUUCUUUUUACAAAAAAUCUUUUUGGCUUUGAAGCUAAAGAUCAUAUUCAUUUAGGACAUGAUUUUUGGUCUGACUCUGAUCUAGUUACAGAUGAGGAAAAUGAUAAGUUGCAACAACCUUUAUCUGAAAAAGUUAUUAAUGUUGUUAUGAGAGCAGACUCGAGAGAUAGGUCUAAGGGCAAAGCCAGCGCGGGUCCUAAAAUCUGCCUCAAGUGUUCGGACCAGAUGGUUCAAACACUUUUACCCAUCGAAGCUACUCACCAAAUGUCCGCGUACUUGUCCGGACGUUCGAAAUCCCUCAAA